GGGAGCAGAAAUUUCAGUCUACCUGCCCACUGAAAAUUUUAAAUGGCCGCAGUAUAUUAACUGUGCAAAGGUAGCAUAAUCAUUAGUCUUUUAAUUGAAGGCUGGAAUGAAUGGUUGGACGAGAUAUUAACUGUUUCAAAAUAAUUUAAAUUAGAAUUUUAUUUUUUAGUAAAAAAGCUAAAAUUUUAUUAAAAGACGAGAAGACCCUAUAAAUCUUUAUAAUUUGUUUAUUUUAAUUGAAAAGAAUUAUUUUGUUAUAAUAAAUAAAAUUAUUUUAUUGGGGUGAUAUUAAAAUUUAAUAAACUUUUAAUUUAUUAAAUCAUUAAUUUAUGAAUUAUUGAUCCAAUUUUAUUGAUUAAAAAUUUAAGUUACUUUAGGGAUAACAGCGUAAUUUUUUUGGAGAGUUCAUAUCGAUAAAAAAGAUUGCGACCUCGAUGUUGGAUUAAGAGAUAUAUUUGGGAGUAGUCAUUCAAAUGUUAAGUCUGUUCGACUUUUAAAUUCUUACGUGAUCUGAGUUCAGACCGGA
rnacentral:rRNA from 1 species